rnacentral:rRNA from 1 species
ACAAAUCACAUAGUCGGNACGCCAACCGUNCCAUCGUUCUCACCAGUAGUUACGUMGAAGCUCCCAAMCGCGGUUGAGAUGACAYAGYGUAUGUAGAYMUUCCUMCUAGUGURCUCWYCGUAAUAACGYUCUGGGCAAUACAUGCRGUGSGUCAUACGCGUGAUUAUCCAGCNUCCNUGCNUGCAUGGUGGGGGGUUUGGAAAGUUUCGGCGGUUGGGGAUGGACUCGCGGCUUAUCAGCUUGUUGGUGGGGUAGUGGCUUACCAAGGCUUUGACGGGUAGCCGGCCUGAGAGGGUGACCGGCCACAUUGGGACUGAGAUACGGCCCAGACUCCUACGGGAGGCAGCAGUGGGGAAUAUUGCACAAUGGGUGGAAGCCUGAUGCAGCAACGCCGUGUGCGGGAUGACGGCCUUCGGGUUGUAAACCGCUUUCGCUCAUGACGAAGCUUUGUGUGACGGUAGUGGGUAAAGAAGCACCGGCUAACUACGUGCCAGCAGCCGCGGUGAUACGUAGGGUGCGAGCGUUGUCCGGAUUUAUUGGGCGUAAAGGGCUCGUAGGUGGUUGAUCGCGUCGGAAGUGUAAUCUUGGGGCUUAACCCUGAGCGUGCUUUUGAUACGGGUUGACUUGAGGAAGGUAGGGGAGAAUGGAAUUCCUGGUGGAG